rnacentral:rRNA from 1 species
AACGCUAGCUACAGGCUUAACACAUGCAGGUCGAGGGGCAUCAGGAAGGAAGCUUGCUUUCUUUGCUGGCGACCGGCGCACGGGUGAGUAACACGUAUCCAACCUGCCCUUUACUCGGGGAUAGCCUUUCGAAAGAAAGAUUAAUACCCGAUAGCAUAAUGAUUCCGCAUGGUUUCAUUAUUAAAGGAUUCCGGUAAAGGAUGGGGAUGCGUUCCAUUAGGUUGUUGGUGAGGUAACGGCUCACCAAGCCUUCGAUGGAUAGGGGUUCUGAGAGGAAGGUCCCCCACAUUGGAACUGAGACACGGUCCAAACUCCUACGGGAGGCAGCAGUGAGGAAUAUUGGUCAAUGGGCGUUAGCCUGAACCAGCCAAGUAGCGUGAAGGAUGAAGGCUCUAUGGGUCGUAAACUUCUUUUAUAUAAGAAUAAAGUGCAGUAUGUAUACUGUUUUGUAUGUAUUAUAUGAAUAAGGAUCGGCUAACUCCGUGCCAGCGGCCGCGGUAAUACGGAGGAUCCGAGCGUUAUCCGGAUUUAUUGGGUUUAAAGGGAGCGUAGGUGGACUGGUAAGUCAGUUGUGAAAGUUUGCGGCUCAACCGUAAAAUUGCAGUUGAUACUGUCAGUCUUGAGUACAGUAGAGGUGGGCGGAAUUCGUGGUGUAGCGGUGAAAUGCUUAGAUAUCACGAAGAACUCCGAUUG